GUUGGGAUUUUGAAUAAAUUCCCUACAGGAAGGCCUUAGAGCAGCAAGUCCAAAGUCGAAGUGUCCAAUAUGCAGAGAGGUUGGAGUACAUACAAGAGCAGUGCACAUGUUAGAACUGGAUAUGCUCUUGAAAAGAAGGUGCAAAGACUAUUGGAAGGAGAGACUAACUGAAGAACGUGCUGACAUGUUGACUCAAUCUAAGUUGUAUUGGGAUACACAUGCCAGGAAUGCAAUUGGGUAUUGACUGUGUGGUUUAUCUGAUAAAACAAUAAAAUUCAAGUAGUAACUAAACAAUUGUGGUGGAUUUGGCUCUAGCUUUGGAGCCUGGCGGCAUCUUGAGACGGAUUUACUUGUGAGCAGCUCGUGAAAAUGCCUUGCUUUAACAUUUGAGGAAGACAUCUAUUUUGUGUGUAUCUGACAAGUAAUAAUGAUUUGGUGUUCGAUACAUGAUUUUGUGUGUAUUUGACAUGUAAUAAUGAUUUGGUGUAAUCUAAGAGAAAGACACCCCGUCUCCACCAUCAGGGGCGGAGCUAGGAUUUUUUGU